rnacentral:rRNA from 1 species
UUUGAUCCUGGCUCAGAUUGAACGCUGGCGGCAGGCCUAACACAUGCAAGUCGAGCGAGAAAGCACUUCGGUGCGAGUACAGCGGCGGACGGGUGAGUAACGCGUAGGAAUCUACCUGGUAGUGGGGGACAACAUGGGGAAACCCAUGCUAAUACCGCAUACGCCCCACGGGGGAAAGCGGGGGACCUUCGGGCCUCGCGCUAUCAGAUGAGCCUGCGUAGGAUUGGCUUGUUGGUGAGGUAAAGGCUCACCAAGGCGACGAUCCUUAGCUGGUCUGAGAGGAUGAUCAGCCACACUGGAACUGAGACACGGUCCAGACUCCUACGGGAGGCAGCAGUGGGGAAUAUUGCGCAAUGGGGGCAACCCUGACGCAGCCAUGCCGCGUGUGUGAAGAAGGCCUUAGGGUUGUAAAGCACUUUCAAUUGGGAAGAAAGGUUUGUAGUUAAUAACUGCAAGCUGUGACGUUACCUUUAGAAGAAGCACCGGCUAACUCCGUGCCAGCAGCCGCGGUAAUA